rnacentral:rRNA from 1 species
UACGGGGGGGGGCAAGCGUUGUUCGGAAUUACUGGGCGUAAAGGGCUCGUAGGUGGCCAACUAAGUCAGACGUGAAAUCCCUCGGCUUAACCGGGGAACUGCGUCUGAUACUGGAUGGCUUGAGUUUGGGAGAGGGACGCGGGAUUCCAGGUGUAGCGGUGAAAUGCGUAGAUAUCUGGAGGAACACCGGUGGCGAAGGCGGCGUCCUGGACCAACACUGACACUGAGGAGCGAAAGCCAGGGGAGCAAAGCGGG